rnacentral:rRNA from 1 species
GAUGAGCGCUGGCUACAGGCUUAACACAUGCAAGUCGAGGGGAAACGACGGGGAAGCUUGCUUCCCCGGGCGUCGACCGGCGCACGGGUGAGUAACGCGUAUCCAACCUGCCUCUGACUGAGGGAUAACCCGUCGAAAGUCGGCCUAAUACCUCAUGGCAUCGUCUGCGGGCAUCCAACGACGAUUAAAGAUUUCAUCGGUCAGGGAUGGGGAUGCGUCUGAUUAGCUUGUUGGCGGGGUAACGGCCCACCAAGGCUACGAUCAGUAGGGGUUCUGAGAGGAAGGUCCCCCACAUUGGAACUGAGACACGGUCCAAACUCCUACGGGAGGCAGCAGUGAGGAAUAGUGGUCAAUGGGCGGGAGCCUGAACCAGCCAAGUAGCGUGCAGGAUGACGGCCCUAUGGGUUGUAAACUGCUUUUAUGCGGGGAUAAAGUGAGGGACGUGUCCUUCAUUGCAGGUACCGCAUGAAUAAGAACCGGCUAAUUCCGUG